AUGAACGCUAGCGACAGGCUUAACACAUGCAAGUCGAGGGGCAGCACAGGUAGCAAUACCGGGUGGCGACCGGCGCACGGGUGAGUAACGCGUAUGCAACUUGCCUAUCAGAGGGGGAUAACCCGGCGAAAGUCGGACUAAUACCGCAUGAAGCAGGGAUCCCGCAUGGGAAUAUUUGCUAAAGAUUCAUCGCUGAUAGAUAGGCAUGCGUUCCAUUAGGCAGUUGGCGGGGUAACGGCCCACCAAACCGACGAUGGAUAGGGGUUCUGAGAGGAAGGUCCCCCACAUUGGUACUGAGACACGGACCAAACUCCUACGGGAGGCAGCAGUGAGGAAUAUUGGUCAAUGGCCGAGAGGCUGAACCAGCCAAGUCGCGUGAGGGAUGAAGGUUCUAUGGAUCGUAAACCUCUUUUAUAAGGGAAUAAAGUGCGGGACGUGUCCCGUUUUGUAUGUACCUUAUGAAUAAGGAUCGGCUAACUCCGUGCCAGCAGCCGCGGUAAUACGGAGGAUCCGAGCGUUAUCCGGAUUUAUUGGGUUUAAAGGGUGCGUAGGCGGCCUUUUAAGUCAGCGGUGAAAGUCUGUGGCUCAACCAUAGAAUUGCCGUUGAAACUGGGGGGCUUGAGUAUGUUUGAGGCAGGCGGAAUGCGUGGUGUAGCGGUGAAAUGCAUAGAUAUCACGCAGAACCCCGAUUGCGAAGGCAGCCUGCCAAGCCAUUACUGACGCUGAUGCACGAAAGCGUGGGGAUCAAACAGGAUUAGAUACCCUGGUAGUCCACGCAGUAAACAAUGAUCACUAGCUGUUUGCGAUACACUGUAAGCGGCACAGCGAAAGCGUUAAGUGAUCCACCUGGGGAGUACGCCGGCAACGGUGAAACUCAAAGGAAUUGACGGGGGCCCGCACAAGCGGAGGAACAUGUGGUUUAAUUCGAUGAUACGCGAGGAACCUUACCCGGGUUUGAACGCAUUCGGACCGAGGUGGAAACACCUUUUCUAGCAAUAGCCGUUUGCGAGGUGCUGCAUGGUUGUCGUCAGCUCGUGCCGUGAGGUGUCGGCUUAAGUGCCAUAACGAGCGCAACCCUUGCCACUAGUUACUAACAGGUAAAGCUGAGGACUCUGGUGGGACUGCCAGCGUAAGCUGCGAGGAAGGCGGGGAUGACGUCAAAUCAGCACGGCCCUUACAUCCGGGGCGACACACGUGUUACAAUGGCGUGGACAAAGGGAGGCCACCUGGCGACAGGGAGCGAAUCCCCAAACCACGUCUCAGUUCGGAUCGGAGUCUGCAACCCGACUCCGUGAAGCUGGAUUCGCUAGUAAUCGCGCAUCAGCCAUGGCGCGGUGAAUACGUUCCCGGGCCUUGUACACACCGCCCGUCAAGCCAUGGGAGCCGGGGGUACCUGAAGUCCGUAACCGAAAGGAUCGGCCUAGGGUAAAACUGGUGACUGGGGCU
rnacentral:rRNA from 1 species